CCUACGGGCGGCAGCAGUGAGGAAUAUUGGUCAAUGGACGAGAGUCUGAACCAGCCAAGUAGCGUGAAGGAUGACUGCCCUAUGGGUUGUAAACUUCUUUUAUAAAGGAAUAAAACGAGGCACGUGUGCCUUUUUGCAUGUACUUUAUGAAUAAGGAUCGGCUAACUCCGUGCCAGCAGCCGCGGUACUACGGAGGAUCCGAGCGUUAUCCGGAUUUAUUGGGUUUAAAGGGAGCGUAGAUGGGUUGUUAAGUCAGUUGUGAAAGUUUGCGGCUCAACCGUAAAAUUGCAAUUGAUACUGGCAGUCUUGAGUACAGUUGAGGUAGGCGGAAUUCGUGGUGUAGCGGUGAAAUGCUUAGAUAUCACGAAGAACCCCGAUUGCGAAGGCAGCUUACUAAACUGUGACUGACAUUGAUGCUCGAAAGUGUGGGUAGCAAACAGGAUUAGAUACCCUUGUAGUC
rnacentral:rRNA from 1 species